rnacentral:rRNA from 1 species
GCAAUGGGCGAAAGCCUGACGGAGCAAUACCGCGUGAGGGAGGAAGGCUCUUGGGUUGUAAACCUCUUUUCUCAGGGAAUAAGAACUGAAGGUACCUGAGGAAUCAGCAUCGGCUAACUCCGUGCCAGCAGCCGCGGUAAUACGGAGGAUGCAAGCGUUAUCCGGAAUGAUUGGGCGUAAAGCGUCCGCAGGUGGUUUAUCAAGUCUGCUGUCAAAGAGUUUGGCUCAACCAAAUAAAGGCAGUGGAAACUGACAGACUGGAGUGCGGUAAGGGCAGAGGGAAUUCCUGGUGUAGCGGUGAAAUGCGUACAGAUCAGGAANAACACCGGUGGCGAAAGCGCUCUGCUGGGCCGUAACUGACACUGAGGGACGAAAGCUAGGGGAGCGAAUGGGAUUANAUACCCCANUAGUCA